rnacentral:rRNA from 1 species
AUGGACGACGGCGCAAGACCGGCGCCCAACCACAAGAGGCACCUCCCACUGCAGGAGGCGGGCGGCGAGCUCGUGGAGCUGCUGUGGCAGGACGGGGCCAUCGUAGCGCAGGCGCAGGCCCAGACGCCGCACCGGCGGUGCCCCCAGAGCGGCGCGGCCAGCGGCGUCACCGCGGAGGAUGCGUCCGCGUGGUUGAUCCCGGACGGCGGCGGCGGCGGCAGGGACCUGUACUCGCACCUCUGGCACGGCGUCGCCGACGGGGACGCGGGCGCGCUCGUGGCGGGGAGCGGCGCCGGGACGAGCUUCUGCGGGAGCAACGCGGUGACGGCGCCGGCGCUGCUGCCGUCGCCGGAGGAGGAGCCGGGCUCGUCCUCGGCGGGAGGCCAAGCGCUACUGUCUAAGAGGGGAAGGGACGAACUGGGUAGCCGCCGCGAGGAUGCCGACGACUGUGAGGCCGUCAAUGAGACCCGGCCGCAGCGGCCGGCGGCAAAGCGAAGGACUCGUGCUGCCGAGGUCCAUAACCAAUCAGAGCGGAAAAGAAGGGAUCGGAUCAACGAAAAGAUGAAAGCAUUGCAAGAACUCGUACCCCAUUGCAACAAGAGCGACAAGGCGUCCAUCCUAGACGAAGCAAUCGAGUACUUAAAGUCUCUGCAACUGCAAGUUCAGAUCAUGUGGAUGGCUACUGGGAUGGCGCCCAUGAUGUACCCUGGUGCUCACCAACUCAUGCCGCCGAUGGCCAUGGGCUUGAACUCAGCGUGCAUGCCCGCGGCGCAGAGCCUUAGCCAGCUGCAAAGAGUAGCACCGUUUAUGAACCAUCAUCUCCCAAAUCAAAUGCCUAGGGUCCAAUCUCCAGCUAUGGAUUCCCUCAAUGUGGGAAACAAUGGUGUCUGUGGUGAGCCAAGAAACCCUUUCCUGCAUCCAGGCAACACACUAACAGCAGCAUCUCAGCUGCCUGAUAUGUUUCCCUAUGCAUCUCAAAAGGCACAACAAAACCAGAAUCAUCAGUUACUGCCUAACACUGACAUGCCAGCUUCAGGACCCUGCUCGCCAUCUUUUGCUGACGGAACUGGAACAUAA